CCUUCAGCGCCCGGGCCGAACCGUUGGUCUAUGGCGCGGAGAGGUUGUAGUGUCUUCCGCGAGCGUGUGGGAGGGCCCCGUGGCGCCCUCGGGAACCGGGCUGGAGGCAGAGAUAGUCCCGGAGGACCAGGCGGACGUAAGGAUCAGGGGCCAGGAGCACCUAUACUACGUUGCAAAAUAGACUGAUACCAGGAGUUCUCCCAAGGUUCAUUCAGAAAUGUCACAUGAUUCCAGUAACAAUACGAAAAGGUUUUUUUUUUUGGAGCCAGGUAUAUUGAUCCUGGAGUUGACAUGGAGGAACAAAUGUCUCAUAACGAAGAUGACGUGGACAAAGCACAAUGCCCGACAGAUAUGAAAA